GUGGUAUUAUACAGACAGAGAGAGGACGUCAUCAACAUGCUCCAUCAACCUUUUUACCCCUGAGGUGUGUGUGUUCUAGGCCAGACGGAGAGAGGACAUCAUCAACAUGCUACAUCAACAGAGACAGAAGAGGAUCCAGAGGGAAACAGUCUCGCUCCUCUACAAGCCUAGGCAGAGGGACAGGAGUGAGAGGCUGGCUCUUAACCCCCCAGGGCACCUGGACACAGACGUGGAGGAGGUCCGAAGGCUUCAGUAACACACAGACCUCGGUGUCAGAACAGAACCAGGCGGAUCCAUGUCUGCAGGAGUUGAUGUUUUAGUUACAAUGACUUCCUGUUUUUAUAAAGUCUGUCUAUGAUUAACUGGGUGGAAAUAUUGUCCUUUUUUGUAUGAAGGAUGUUAUCUUUAAAAGAGAGGGAUGUCCGUUAUUUAAAAGAGAGGGUUGUCCGUUAUUUAAAGGAGAGGGUUGUCCGUUAUUUAAAAGAGAGGGUUGUCCGUUAUUUAAAGGAGAGGGAUGUCCGUUAUUUAAAAGAGAGGGUUGUCCGUUAUUUAAAGGAGAGGGUUGUCCGUUAUUUAAAAGAGAGGGCUGUCCGUUAUUUAAAAGAGAGGGAUGUCCGUUAUUUAAAAGAGAGGGUUGUCCGUUAUUUAAAGGAGAGGGUUGUCCGUUAUUUAAAAGAGAGGGCUGUCCGUUAUUUAAAAGAGAGGGAUGUCCGUUAUUUAAAAGAGAGGGUUGUCCGUUAUUUAAAAGAGAGGGUUGUCCGUUAUUUAAAAGAGAGGGUUGUCCGUUAUUUAAAGGAGAGGGUUGUCCGUUAUUUAAAAGAGAGGGCUGUCCGUUAUUUAAAAGAGAGGGAUGUCCGUUAUUUAAAAGAGAGGGAUGUCCGUUAUUUAAAAGAGAGGGUUGUCCGUUAUUUAAAAGAGAGGGUUGUCCGUUAUUUAAAAGAGAGGGUUGUCCGUUAUUUAAAAUAGAGGGUUGUCCGUUAUUUAAAAGAGAGUGAUGUCCGUUAUUUAAAAGAGAGGGUUGUCCGUUAUUUAAAAGAGAGGGAUGUCCGUUAUUUAAAAGAGAGGGUUGUCCGUUAUUUAAAAGAGAGGGAUGUCCGUUAUUUAAAAGAGAGGGUUGUCCGUUAUUUAAAAGAGAGGGUUGUCCGUUGUUUAAAAGAGAGGGUUGUCCGUUGUAUAAAAGAGCGGGAUCUCAAAAGUUUGGACACUACAGAGAAUACCGAUUUUUGGGAUGUCUCGUGGUCUGACAACCACCCCUCUAGCUCUGUCACCUUUCACUGCAGAUGUCUCGUGGUCUGACAACCACCCCUCUAGCUCUGUCACCUUUCACUGCAGAUGUCUCAUGGUCUGACAACCACCCCUCUAGCUCUGUCACCUUUCACUGCAGAUGUCUCGUGGUCUGACACCACCCCUCUAGCUCUGUCACCUUUCACUGCAGAUGUCUCGUGGUCUGACAACCACCCCUCUAACUCUGUCACCUUUCACUGCAGAUGUCUCGUGGUCUGACAACCACCCCUCUAGCUCUGUCACCUUUCACUGCAGAUGUCUCUUGGUCUGACAACCACCCCUCUAGCUCUGUCACCUUUCACUGCAGAUGUCUCAUGGUCUGACACCACCCCUCUAGCUCUGUCACCUUUCACUGCAGAUGUCUCAUGGUCUGACACCACCCCUCUAGCUCUGUCACCUUUCACUGCAGAUGUCUCGUGGUCUGACAACCACCCCUGUAACUCUGUCACCUUUCACUGCAGAUGUCUCAUGGUCUGACAACCACCCCUGUAACUCUGUCACCUUUCACUGCAGAUGUCUCAUGGUCUGACAACCACCCCUCUAACUCUGUCACCUUUCAUUGCAGAUGUCUCGUGGUCUGACAACCACCCCUCUAACUGUCACCUUUCACUGCAGAUGUCUCAUGGUCUGACAACCACCCCUCUAACUCUGUCACCUUUCACUGCAGAUGUCUCAUGGUCUGACAACCACCCCUCUAACUCUUUCACUGCAGAUGUCUCAUGGUCUGACAACCACCCCUCUAACUCUGUCGCCUUUCACUGCAGAUGUCGCGUGGUCUGACAAUCACCCCUCUAACUCUGUCACCUUUCACUGCAGAUGUCUCGUGGUCUGACAACCACCCCUCUAACUCUUUCACUGCAGAUGUCUCGUGGUCUGACAACCACCCCUCUAACUCUGUCUCCUUUCACUGCAGAUGUCUCAUGGUCUGACAACCACCCCUCUAACUCUUUCACUGCAGAUGUCUCGUGGUCUGACAACCACCCCUCUAGCUCUGUCACCUUUCACUGCAGAUGUCCGACGUAGACGGAUGUGGUGGAUUGAGAUGCAGCCCAUGAAAAAAACACAUCUCUAGUCUCUUUGUCGUUCUCUGUUUCUCUGUCUGUCCGUCUGGCAAUUCAAUACAUGGCGUGAAUGGGUGGUUGCCACCGUUACCAAAGCAUUUUCUAUGAAGUAUAACAUAAAUUAACAAUAUGUUUGAGCAACUAUAAAAAUAUACACGACAUGACCAAAAGUAUGUGGACACCUGCUAGUCGAACAUCUCAUUCCAAAUCAUGGGCAUUAAUACGG